UUUAUCUUAGUGGCGGACGGGUGAGUAACGCGUGGGUAACCUGCCCUGUACAGGGGGAUAACACUUAGAAAUAGGUGCUAAAACCGCAUAAGCGCACAGUACCGCAUGGUACAGUGUGAAAAACUCCGGUGGUACAGGAUGGACCCGCGUCUGAUUAGCUGGUUGGAGGGGUAACGGCCCACCAAGGCGACGAUCAGUAGCCGGCCUGAGAGGGUGAACGGCCACAUUGGGACUGAGACACGGCCCAAACUCCUACGGAAGGCAGCAG
rnacentral:rRNA from 1 species